rnacentral:rRNA from 1 species
AGCGGCAACAGCUCAAAUUUGAAAUCUGGCCCUUGUGGUCCGAGUUGUAAUUUGUAGAGGAUGCUUUUGGUGAGGUACCUUCCGAGUUCCCUGGAACGGGACGCCAUAGAGGGUGAGAGCCCCGUCUGGUUGGAUACCGAGCCUCUGUAAAGCUCCUUCGACGAGUCGAGUAGUUUGGGAAUGCUGCUCUAAAUGGGAGGUAUAUGUCUUCUAAAGCUAAAUAUUGGCCAGAGACCGAUAGCGCACAAGUAGAGUGAUCGAAAGAUGAAAAGCACUUUGAAAAGAGGGUUAAAUAGUACGUGAAAUUGUUGAAAGGGAAGCGCUUGUGACCAGACUUGGGCUUGGUUAAUCAUCCAGGGUUCUCCCUGGUGCACUUGGCCAGCCCAGGCCAGCAUCAGUUUGUCGCGGGGGAUAAAGGCGUCGGGAAUGUGGCUCCCCCGGGAGUGUUAUAGCCCUUCGUGUAAUACCCUGCUUUAGACUGAGGUUCGCGCAUCUGCAAGGAUGCUGGCGUAAUGGUCAUCAGCGACCCGUCUUGAAACACGGACCAAGGAGUCGUCUUCGUAUGCGAGUGUUCGGGUGUCAAACCCCUACGCGUAAUGAAAGUGAACGCAGGUGAGAGCUUCGGCGCAUCAUCGACCGAUCCUGAUGUUCUCGGAUGGAUUUGAGUAAGAGCAUACGGGGCCGGACCCGAAAGAAGGUGAACUAUGCCUGUGUAGGGUGAAGCCAGAGGAAACUCUGGUGGAGGCUCGCAGCGGUUCUGACGUGCAAAUCGAUCGUCAAACAUGGGCA